AUUUGGAAGAGGAGGCUAUGCUGAAGAGCUUGUUAAAUAGAGAAUUUGAGUGGAUUGACAAUUCUUUGAGGCUGGUGUUAAUUAACAAAUGCCCUCAGUAAUGUCACGUCCCUUGGAGUGCAAGGCUGAGGGUCUCGACUUUGAGCCCUUCUCCCUUAGGCUCUGACUUGUUGCAGCAGCGCAACAAGAGGUAGCUAAAAAAUCUUCUUUUUGAA